GCCGCGUCGCCAUUCGCUGCGCCGCUUACUCGUCAAGGCACGCCGCGCGCUGACUGGCCGCGGCCACCAGUCUCCAGGCCCCAGACGCCCCUCUCCGCCCCCCCGCCCCCGCCCCCCAGCAAAUAAUAAACAAUCGAGUAAAAUUCUAAGGAAGGAGAGAGAGGAGAGGGAAAAAGGGAGAGGGCGCACUAGAAACCAAUCCUUCGCGCGCUGGCGGUGGGAGGGUUCAAGGGGGGACGCGAGAGGACAGCGGACGGGAGGAAGGCAGCCGACUUGGGGCGGUGGGUCUGCCAGCGAAGAGGAGGCGUCGGGGGAGGAAAGUUGCAGCGCACUCGACUGGGCGCGCCUGGCGGGUGGCAUUGACCCGCUCCAGUUCAUGAGAGAAGACUGUGCACAUCUUGGUAGUUUGAAAUGGACUACUAUGGGAGUAUUUACAUCACAGAAAUUGGCAAAUCCAUCAAGGCUUGCUUGCUUUUUUUUUUCCUUCCUUUUCUUCUUUCGGAGGGCCAGUCUGCCAGCACACCAUUGCCCCUACUCCACUCAGCCACUGUCUUGCAUUCUGAGGAGGAAGAUUUGUUCUGAAUAGAAAGUAAAGGAAACAGAAGCACUGGAGAAACUGUACGUCGAUUCUGCUUAGCAACUGAUUAUACAUUAUCUAACCUUGUUUUUAAAGUACUUCAAUUUAACACAAUGGAGCAAAUAACCAGAACAAACUUCCUGAUGAAAACUAAAGCUGGAUAAGAUUUUUAAAAAUUUUUUAAAUGGAUUUUAUUGAGCUGGCAAAAAAGGAAGAAACCCACAGAGACCAAAAACAAAGUUAAGGUGGGAAGUGAGCACACUCCUAGAAAAUCUGACAACAUUUGAGCUUCUACUUUGACAGGUGUGUAGAGUCUGGGACACAGAAGAUAAAUCCUCAGUCUUGUCCAAGAUCAGGAGAAUAAGAAGACUCUACCCCCCUAAAACCAGAAGUCCAAAGGGCCAAAGUAAAGGCGAAUGUGAAAUUAACUGGCUUUGCAGAAGAGGAUCCCAGGAAAAAUCGUCUGUCUUGAUCAAAGCCCUGAAUAAAAGAGUAUAAAAAAUAUUCUUCCUUGAAAAUUCACAACUAUGGUGUGGUCCGUAUGUAAUAUUAUGACCAAAAUUCAUGAUACCAUGGAAUUAUUUUAAAAACUUCAUGAGCCCCAGUUUGUGGUGCUUUUAACAACUGGCAGAAGGAAAGACACAUCCUCUUGGAGGGCUAUCUUGAGCCUAGGCCCCAAAGAACUUCCAUAAUCAUAAUCAGAAAACACAAAACAUAUAAUAAGCAAGGCUCCAUGUAGGAGCAGACAGAAACAAAAUGUAAGGUCAGAUACACAAAGGCUGGGGUAUGAGAAUAAGCUGACACAGAAAAUAAGUGUACUUAAUAGGUUUAAACAAAAAGGAAGUUUGAAAAUAGAAGAAAGGAACAAGAGUCUAUAAAAAACAACUGAGUAGAUUUGAAAUCAAAAUACUUCUUUGUUUUUCUUCCCAGCUAGAUAUUAUGUCCUUGAAGACACAGGGAUCAGGCUAAACACUAUAUGUUAUCGUUUGUCAAUUGAAGGAAGUUAGAAACAAAGUACUCAAUUUUUUUUGAAACCCAGCAGUAAGAAUGAGAGUUGUGACUACAUUUUUAAAAUGUAAAUGUAAAAACUCCUGUUGUAAAUGUUAAUCAAUCUCUUCUAGAGGAAAGGAAGACAAAAUCAAAAUUAAUGCAAUGCUUCCGGCUGACUGGCCUCCAGCAAAUGGCAUUGAGCUUUGUAAGUGGUCCAUCUACUCCAUUUCUCAUCUUGCAAA
rnacentral:lncRNA from 10 species